GACGAACGCUGGCGGCGUGCUUAACACAUGCAAGUCGAACGAUGAAGAAAAGAAUUGAAGCUUCGGCAGAAAUUCAUUUCGGAUUAGUGGCAGACGGGUGAGUAACGCGUGAGCAACCUACCUCUUACAAAGGGAUAGCCUCGGGAAACCGGGAUUAAUACCAUAUAACAUUGCGACGAAGCAUUUCGAUGCAAUCAAAGCUACGGCGGUAAGAGAUGGGCUCGCGUCCCAUUAACCAGAUGGUGAGGUAACGGCUCACCAUAGUAACGAUGGGUAACCGGGCGGGGAGGGUGAACGGUCACACUGGAACUGAGACACGGUCCAGACUCCUACGCGAGGCAGCAGAGGGGAAUAUUGCACGAUGGAGGGAACUCUGAUGCAGCGACGCCGCGUGAGUGAUGAAGGAAUUCGUUUCGUAAAACUCUGUUCUAUGGGAAGAAAAGGACUGUACCAUAGGAGAAAGCUCCGGCUAAAUACGUG
rnacentral:rRNA from 1 species